UACAGAGGUCUCAAGCGUUGUUCGGAUUCAUUGGGCGUAAAGGGUGCGUAGGCGGCGCGGUAAGUCGGGUGUGAAAUCUUGGAGCUUAACUCCGAAACUGCAUUCGAUACUGCCGUGCUUGAGGACUGGAGAGGAGACUGGAAUUUACGGUGUAGCGGUGAAAUGCGUAGAUAUCGUAAGGAAGACCAGUGGCGAAGGCGGGGUCUCUGGACAGUUCCUGACGCUGAGGCACGAAGGUCAGGGGAGCAAACGGG
rnacentral:rRNA from 1 species